rnacentral:rRNA from 1 species
CUACACAUGCAGUCGAACGGUAACAUAAGAGCUUGCUCUUGAUGACGAGUGGCGCACGGGUGAGUAACGCGUAUGCAAUCUACCUAUAACUGAGGGAUAGCCCAGAGAAAUUUGGAUUAAUACCUCAUAAUAAUAUUUUUUGGCAUCAUUAAAUAUUUAAAACUCCGGUGGUUAUAGAUGAGCAUGCGUUCUAUUAGUUUGUUGGUGAGGUAAAGGCUCACCAAGACUACGAUAGAUAGGGGGCCUGAAAGGGUGAUCCCCCACACUGGUACUGAGACACGGACCAGACUCCUACGGGAGGCAGCAGUGAGGAAUAUUGCACAAUGGAGGAAACUCUGAUGCAGCCAUGCCGCGUGCAGGAUGACGGCCCUAUGGGUUGUAAACUGCUUUUUUACAAGAAGAAACCUUGGUACGUGUACCAACUUGACGGUAUUGUAAGAAUAAGCACCGGCUAACUCCGUGCCAGCAGCCGCGGUAAUACGGAGGGUGCAAGCGUUAUCCGGAUUUAUUAGGUUUAAAGGGUUCGCAGGCGGAAUUUUAAGUCAGUGGUGAAAGCCUAUAGCUCAACUAUAGAACUGCCAUUGAUACUGAAAUUCUUGAGUAUAGAUGAAGUGGGCGGAAUAUGUCAUGUAGCGGUGAAAUGCAUAGAUAUGACAUGGAACACCAAUUGCGAAGGCAGCUCACUAAACUAUUACUGACGCUCAUGAACGAAAGCAUGGGGAGCGAACAGGAUUAGAUACCCUGGUAGUCCAUGCUGUAAACUAUGAUCACUAGAUGUUGGCGAUAUAUUGUCAGUGUUUUAGAGAAAUCGUUAAGUGAUCCACCUGGGGAGUACGUUCGCAAGAAUGAAACUCAAAGGAAUUGACGGGGGCCCGCACAAGCGGUGGAGCAUGUGGUUUAAUUCGAUGAUACGCGAGGAACCUUACCAAGACUUAAAUGUAUUUUGCUAAAUGAGAAAUCAUUGUCUUCGGACAUUUACAGGUGCUGCAUGGUUGUCGUCAGCUCGUGCCGUGAAGGUGUCGGGUAAGU